ACCAGCAGCAGGGCCAGGGCAGGUGCCCCCGACCCCUGCAGGUUGGGAGCUGUGAGGACCGGUGCGGCAUCAAGAGGAAGUGUCCCGCAGGCUACGGGUGCUGCAGCAACGGCUGCGGCCGCGAAUGCAUGAGGCUCAUAUACACAGAGCAGCCCCGAGAGUGACCCCGCGCGGGAGCCGGGCCACGGGACAGCCUGUCGUGUGGCUCCAGGCACCGAUGGGGCACGUGGCCCCCAGCACCGGGGGUCUGCUUCCCGCACCUGCGAUAGGAGCUCCUUCCUCUAUGCAAUAAAGACCCCGCUUUGCGGCGUCCAGCAUC